ACGUAAUAUCCUUGAUUCUGCCUCUUGGCCCACAAAGCCUGAAAUCUUUACUAUCUGGCCUGUUACAGAAAUCAUCUGCUGGUCUCUGCCUCCACUACUGAACCAUUCUGCCAUUCCAGAAACAAGUUGGCCAUGGUUUGCCAAUCCCCAAAUAGAACACUCUAAGCCCUUGGCCAUUUUGAUUGGUUUGGAGCGAGGUAUUUCCAGGGACCCCUUCCCAAACAGACUACUUGUGCUGGAAUCUUUGUCUCGGUGCCUGCUUCUGGGAGAAUCUAAACUUGCCAUGAAAACCAAACGAGUAGAAACUUUCAAGAUGUUCCCUCCAGCGCCAGUGGCUGAGACCUCAAACCCUAGGCUUUCAAGGUUCUCCUGGGAAGGAAUGCUUCCCUUGCUCAGCAGAGUUCUGAAGGCAUCCUUAUGGACCAGCAGAAGGGGAGCAGGAAGAAGUGUGGAAAAGAAUGGAAGCACAGCCUUCUGGGAGGAGGGGUGCCUCUGAGGGUGUGAGAGUGCCACCUUGUCCUACCCCAGCUCCCUUGACGCCCCCCAGCCCUGUCCCUCCAUCAGUGAAGACGCAUUUCCUGCCCAAGUUCUACAACCAACCCCCAGCCGAUGCCUUCAGGGCACCAACUUGCUCUGCGGUGUAUCAGGCUUUUUUUUUUUUUUCUUUAAGCUCUGCUCUAAAGUAUCUAAUCAUAAUAAAAUGCAAUCAACAAGCAUUUACUGUGCACGUACUAUGCAAAACACACUGUGCUGGGUGCAACAGGAAAUUCCAAAAUGACUACAAUUGUAAGCCACUGACCUCAGUUUGUUAUGUAGUUGGAGAGAUGAGGCAUAAAUGAUUAAACAGUUAACAAACAACAGAAUGUGUUACAAGUUCUUAGGUGCUUACUGAAUAAAAGUUAGCCAACAAGGCAUUGUAACAGGAGCGCGGAAGGGGAGAGGGAAGGAGGUGCAAGCCGGACAGGUAAUCAAGGAAUAACAACCCAGCUCCAAUCUACCCAGUGCUGAGACUGAGAAGCCCACGUGACUUACACCAUGCCUCCCCACCUCUCUGCCUGAUCAUGUGUCUCUCCAUUCAGCAG